rnacentral:rRNA from 1 species
ACUUCCGUUAAUUGAUUAUGACGUGCUUGCACUGAAUGAGAUUUUAACACGAAGUGAGUGGCGGACGGGUGAGUAACACGUGGGUAACCUGCCCAGAAGCAGGGGAUAACACCUGGAAACAGAUGCUAAUACCGUAUAACAGAGAAAACCGCCUGGUUUUCUUUUAAAAGAUGGCUCUGCUAUCACUUCUGGAUGGACCCGCGGCGCAUUAGCUAGUUGGUGAGGUAACGGCUCACCAAGGCGAUGAUGCGUAGCCGACCUGAGAGGGUAAUCGGCCACAUUGGGACUGAGACACGGCCCAGACUCCUACGGGAGGCAGCAGUAGGGAAUCUUCCACAAUGGACGCAAGUCUGAUGGAGCAACGCCGCGUGAGUGAAGAAGGGUUUCGGCUCGUAAAGCUCUGUUGUUAAAGAAGAACGUGGGUGAGAGUAACUGUUCACCCAGUGACGGUAUUUAACCAGAAAGCCACGGCUAACUACGUGCCAGCAGCCGCGGUAAUACGUAGGUGGCAAGCGUUAUCCGGAUUUAUUGGGCGUAAAGCGAGCGCAGGCGGUCUUUUAAGUCUAAUGUGAAAGCCUUCGGCUCAACCGAAGAAGUGCAUUGGAAACUGGGAGACUUGAGUGCAGAAGAGGACAGUGGAACUCCAUGUGUAGCGGUGAAAUGCGUAGAUAUAUGGAAGAACACCAGUGGCGAAGGCGGCUGUCUGGUCUGUAACUGACGCUGAGGCUCGAAAGCAUGGGUAGCGAACAGGAUUAGAUACCCUGGUAGUCCAUGCCGUAAACGAUGAUUACUAAGUGUUGGAGGGUUUCCGCCCUUCAGUGCUGCAGCUAACGCAUUAAGUAAUCCGCCUGGGGAGUACGACCGCAAGGUUGAAACUCAAAAGAAUUGACGGGGGCCCGCACAAGCGGUGGAGCAUGUGGUUUAAUUCGAAGCUACGCGAAGAACCUUACCAGGUCUUGACAUCUUCUGCCAACCUAAGAGAUUAGGCGUUCCCUUCGGGACAGAAUGACAGGUGGUGCAUGGUUGUCGUCAGCUCGUGUCGUGAGAUGUUGGGUUAAGUCCCGCAACGAGCGCAACCCUUAUUACUAGUUGCCAGCAUUCAGUUGGGCACUCUAGUGAGACUGCCGGUGACAAACCGGAGGAAGGUGGGGACGACGUCAAAUCAUCAUGCCCCUUAUGACCUGGGCUACACACGUGCUACAAUGGAUGGUACAACGAGUCGCGAAACCGCGAGGUUUAGCUAAUCUCUUAAAACCAUUCUCAGUUCGGACUGUAGGCUGCAACUCGCCUACACGAAGUCGGAAUCGCUAGUAAUCGCGGAUCAGCAUGCCGCGGUGAAUACGUUCCCGGGCCUUGUACACACCGCCCGUCACACCAUGAGAGUUUGUAACACCCAAAGCCGGUGGGGUAAC